rnacentral:lncRNA from 1 species
GCUUCUUUUCCUCACUCCCAGUGUCCUCCCAAGUUCUUCUGCCAUGCUAAUCCCUGAUUGCAUAAUAAGAACCUGGACCAAUCAAAAUUUUGGAUCAAGCUAUGGUGGUAGCUCUGUUCCAUGAUGUUAUUGAAGUUAACUACUGGCCCACUCACAGAGGCUUGCUUUGUGCUAAAGGCAGCUGAAUGUAUGUGCCUCAUGUUUUCUGGCGGUAUAUUUCAAAAGUCCAUAAGUAAAGUGGCUCUCAGAUUGAAACAGCAUGUAUGGAUUAUAUUUUUCUCUCAGG